CCCUUAGAUGUUCUGGGCUGCACGCGCGCUACACUGAUGCAUUCAACGAGUCUAAAACCUGGUCUGAUAGGGCUGGGUAAUCUUUUGAAUGUGCAUCGUGAUUGGGAUAGAUGAUUGCAAUUCUUCAUCUUCAACGAGGAAUGCCUAGUAAACGCAAGUCAUCAGCUUGCAUUGAUUACGUCCCUGCCCUUUGUACACACCGCCCGUCGCUCCUACCGAUUGAAUGAUCCGAUGAAUAUCAUGGAUUGAGGAUGCAAGUAGGUUCGCCUAUCUUCAUCUUCGAGAAGUGAAGUAAAUCUUAUCAUUUAGAGGAAGGAGAAGUCGUAACA
rnacentral:rRNA from 1 species